rnacentral:rRNA from 1 species
AGAGUUUGAUCCUGGCUCAGGAUUAACGCUAGCGGCAGGCCUAAUACAUGCAAGUUGAACGGGAUUAAGUAGCAAUACUUAUGAGAGUAGCGCACGGGUGCGUAACGCGUAUGCAAUCUACCUUUAACCGGGGGAUAGCCCAAAGAAAUUUGGAUUAAUACCGCAUAAUAUUAUUGAAUGGCAUCAUUCGAUACUCAAAACUACGGUGGUUAAAGAUGAGCAUGCGUGACAUUAGCUAGUUGGUGAGGUAAUGGCUCACCAAGGCUCCGAUGUCUAGGGGGUCUGAGAGGAUGAUCCCCCACACUGGUACUGAGACACGGACCAGACUCCUACGGGAGGCAGCAGUAAGGAAUAUUGGUCAAUGGACGCAAGUCUGAACCAGCCAUGCCGCGUGCAGGAUGACUGCCCUAUGGGUUGUAAACUGCUUUUGUACGGGAAGAAACCUCUCUACGUGUAGAGAGUUGACGGUACCGUAAGAAUAAGGAUCGGCUAACUCCGUGCCAGCAGCCGCGGUAAUACGGAGGAUCCAAGCGUUAUCCGGAUUUAUUGGGUUUAAAGGGUGCGUAGGCGGCCUAUUAAGUCAGUGGUGAAAGCCUGGAGCUUAACUCCAGAACUGCCAUUGAUACUGAUGGGCUUGAGUACAGUUGAGGUAGGCGGAAUGUGUCAUGUAGCGGUGAAAUGCUUAGAUAUGACACAGAACACCGAUUGCGAAGGCAGCUUGCUAAACUGUAACUGACGCUGAGGCACGAAAGCGUGGGUAGCAAACAGGAUUAGAUACCCUGGUAGUCCACGCCCUAAACGUUGAUUACUCGAUGUGUGCGAUACACAGUACGCGUCUAAGCGAAAGCAUUAAGUAAUCCACCUGGGGAGUACGGUCGCAAGACUGAAACUCAAAGGAAUUGACGGGGGCCCGCACAAGCGGAGGAGCAUGUGGUUUAAUUCGAUGAUACGCGAGGAACCUUACCCGGGCUUGAAAGUUAGUGAAUGGCGUGGAAACAUGUCAGGCCGCAAGGACACGAAACUAGGUGCUGCAUGGCUGUCGUCAGCUCGUGCCGUGAGGUGUUGGGUUAAGUCCCGCAACGAGCGCAACCCCUAUCAUUAGUUGCCAUCAGGUUAUGCUGGGGACUCUAAUGAGACUGCCCGCGCAAGCGGUGAGGAAGGUGGGGAUGACGUCAAGUCAGCACGGCCCUUACGUCCGGGGCUACACACGUGCUACAAUGGGCGAUACAGAGGGCUGCUACCAGGUGACUGGAUGCUAAUCCUUAAAGUCGUUCUCAGUUCGGAUUGGAGUCUGCAACUCGACUCCAUGAAGCUGGAUUCGCUAGUAAUCGCAUAUCAGCAAUGAUGCGGUGAAUACGUUCCCGGGCCUUGUACACACCGCCCGUCAAACAAUGGAAUCUGGGGGUACCUAAAGUCGAUCACCGCAAGGAGUCGCCUAAGGUAAAACUGGUAACUGGUGUUAAGUCGAAACAAGGUAGCCGUACCGGAAGGUGUGGCUG